rnacentral:tRNA from 1 species
GCCGGCGUAGCCCAACGGCAGAGGCCCGAUCUUUAGGUGGUCGUCAGUGCGGGUUCGAAUCCCGCCGCCGGCA